AGAGUUUGAUCCUGGCUCAGGAUGAACGCUGGCGGUAUGCUUUACACAUGCAAGUCGUACGAGAGUUUUUAACUCAAGUGGCGGACGGGUGAGUAACACGUAAGAAUUUGCCUUUAGGAGGGGGACAACAACUGGAAACGGUUGCUAAUACCCCAUAUGCUUUCGAGUGAAAUGGAUUUUCCGCCUAAAGAGAAGCUUGCGGCUGAUUAGCUUGUUGGUAAGGUAAUGGCUUACCAAGGCGACGAUCAGUAUCUGGUUUGAGAGGACGAUCAGACACACUGGAACUGAGACACGGUCCAGACUCCUACGGGAGGCAGCAGUGGGGAAUUUUCCGCAAUGGGCGAAAGCCUGACGGAGCAAUACCGCGUGAGGGAUGACGGCCUAUGGGUUGUAAACCUCUUUUUUCAGGGAGGAAUCAAUGACGUGUACCUGAAGAAUAAGCAUCGGCUAACUCCGUGCCAGCAGCCGCGGUAAGACGGAGGAUGCAAGUGUUAUCCGGAAUCACUGGGCGUAAAGCGUCUGUAGGUGGUCAAAUAAGUCAACUGUUAAAUCUUGAGGCUCAACCUCAAAAUCGCAGUCGAAACUAUUCGACUAG
rnacentral:rRNA from 1 species